rnacentral:rRNA from 1 species
UACGUAGGGUGCAAGCGUUAAUCGGAAUUACUGGGCGUAAAGCGUGCGCAGGCGGUUCGUUAUGUCCGAUGUGAAAGCCCCGAGCUCAACUUGGGAAUGGCAUUGGAAACUGGCGGGCUGGAGUGUGGCAGAGGGGGGUGGAAUUCCACGUGUAGCAGUGAAAUGCGUAGAGAUGCGGAGGAACACCGAUGGCGAAGGCAGCCCCCUGGGCUAACACUGACGCUCAGGCACGAAAGCGUGGGGAGCAAACAGG